rnacentral:rRNA from 1 species
GACGAACGCUGGCGGCGUGCCUAAUACAUGCAAGUUGAGCGCUGAAGGUUGGUACUUGUACCAACUGGAUGAGCAGCGAACGGGUGAGUAACGCGUGGGGAAUCUGCCUUUGAGCGGGGGACAACAUUUGGAAACGAAUGCUAAUACCGCAUAAAAACUUUAAACACAAGUUUUAAGUUUGAAAGAUGCAUUUGCAUCACUCAAAGAUGAUCCCGCGUUGUAUUAGCUAGUUGGUGAGGUAAAGGCUCACCAAGGCGAUGAUACAUAGCCGACCUGAGAGGGUGAUCGGCCACAUUGGGACCGAGACACGGCCCAAACUCCUACGGGAGGCAGCAGUAGGGAAUCUUCGGCAAUGGACGAAAGUCUGACCGAGCAACGCCGCGUGAGUGAAGAAGGGUUUCGGAUCGUAAAACUCUGUUGGUAGAGAAGAACGUUGGUGAGAGUGGAAAGCUCAUCAAGUGACGGUAACUACCCAGAAAGGGACGGCUAACUACGUG